rnacentral:rRNA from 1 species
GAUGAACGCUGGCGGCGUGCCUAAUACAUGCAAGUCGAGCGAACAGACGAGGAGCUUGCUCCUCUGACGUUAGCGGCGGACGGGUGAGUAACACGUGGAUAACCUACCUAUAAGACUGGGAUAACUUCGGGAAACCGGUGCUAAUACCGGAUAAUAUAUUGAACAGCAUGGUUCACUAGUGAAAGACGGUUUUGCUGUUACUUAUAGAUGGAUCCGCGCCGCAUUAGCUAGUUGGUAAGGUAACGGCUUACCAAGGCAACGAUGCGUAGCCGACCUGAGAGGGUGAUCGGCCACACUGGAACUGAGACACGGCCCAGACUCCUACGGGAGGCAGCAGUAGGGAAUCUUCCGCAAUGGGCGAAAGCCUGACGGAGCAACGCCGCGUGAGUGAUGAAGGUCUUCGGAUCGUAAAACUCUGUUAUUAGGGAAGAACAAAUGUGUAAGUAACUAGGCACGUCUUGACGGUACCUAAUCAGAAAGCCACGGCUAACUACGUG